rnacentral:rRNA from 1 species
AUUGAACGCUGGCGGCAUGCCUUACACAUGCAAGUCGAACGGUAACAGGUUAAGCUGACGAGUGGCGAACGGGUGAGUAAUGUAUCGGAACGUGCCCAGUCGUGGGGGAUAACUGCUCGAAAGAGCAGCUAAUACCGCAUACGACCUGAGGGUGAAAGCGGGGGACCGUAAGGCCUCGCGCGAUUGGAGCGGCCGAUAUCAGAUUAGGUAGUUGGUGAGGUAAAGGCUCACCAAGCCGACGAUCUGUAGCUGGUCUGAGAGGACGACCAGCCACACUGGGACUGAGACACGGCCCAGACUCCUACGGGAGGCAGCAGUGGGGAAUUUUGGACAAUGGGCGCAAGCCUGAUCCAGCCAUGCCGCGUGCGGGAAGAAGGCCUUCGGGUUGUAAACCGCUUUUGUCAGGGAAGAAACGGCUCCUUCCAAUACAGGGGGCUAAUGACGGUACCUGAAGAAUAAGCACCGGCUAACUACGUGCCAGCCGCCGCAGUAAGAC